rnacentral:lncRNA from 1 species
GACACCAAUAUCUACAUAGUUGCAGAAGAAUCAGAAGAAAAAGAGUCAACAUCUUCCACAAUAUCUAUGAAAAUGAAGUGUGCACCCAUGGCGGGAGAGAGAGAACAUACCAGAGGCCAUAGAACUCUGAGUAUGCUUAGUCCUUAGUAGCCUCCAUUUUCUAAAAGUAAUAAGAAAAAUUGUCCAAAAUUGUAAGAAAAAUCAAAAGGGUCAGGUCAUAGAGUA